rnacentral:rRNA from 1 species
ACGGUACAGCUUGCUGCUUCGCUGACGAGUGGCGGACGGGUGAGUAAUGUCUGGGAAACUGCUGAUGGAGGGGGAUAACUACUGGAAACGGUGGCUAAUACCGCAUAACGUCGCAAGACCAAAGAGGGGGACCUUCGGGCCUCUUGCCAUCAGAUGUGCCCAGAUGGGAUUAGCUUGUUGGUGAGGUAACGGCUCACCAAGGCGACGAUCCCUAGCUGGUCUGAGAGGAUGACCAGCCACACUGGAACUGAGACACGGUCCAGACUCCUACGGGAGGCAGCAGUGGGGAAUAUUGCACAAUGGGCGCAAGCCUGAUGCAGCCAUGCCGCGUGUAUGAAGAAGGCCUUCGGGUUGUAAAGUACUUUCAGCGGGGAGGAAGGUGUUGUGGUUAAUAACCGCAGCAAUUGACGUUACCCGCAGAAGAAGCACCGGCUAACUCCGUGCCAGCAGCCGCGGUAAUACGGAGGGUGCAAGCGUUAAUCGGAAUUACUGGGCGUAAAGCGCACGCAGGCGGUCUGUCAAGUCGGAUGUGAAAUCCCCGGGCUCAACCUGGGAACUGCAUUCGAAACUGGCAGGCUUGAGUCUUGUAGAGGGGGGUAGAAUUCCAGGUGUAGCGGUGAAAUGCGUAGAGAUCUGGAGGAAUACCGGUGGCGAAGGCGGCCCCCUGGACAAAGACUGACGCUCAGGUGCGAAAGCGUGGGGAGCAAACAGGAU